UACUAGUCAGUAUGUAUAUUUACAAGAUGUUUAUCAUUUCCUCAAACUAAUGGACAAUAACUUAUGUUACAAAGUGAGAGAAUCAACUGGAAUUUAUUAAUUUUGUAAAUUAGGAUGCCAAUAAAAAUUGAUUAACCUAAAAAUGUGUAAACUACCGUGUAUACACGUACUCUAAAGGGUGAUUUCUGAUAAAAGGUUUACGGAUUUGUCGAAGAUUAUUUAUGCAGAAUCACAAGAGCUUUUCAAUCUAUCUUGGCUUUUUGUGCAAGGACUGUUUUUGGAAGUGUUCACAUGCUAGUUCAACAACAUUGUGGAUUCAGAUUGAUUGGUUAUGGAGGCGCUGUGCAAUGCGCAUUUCAAAAGAUUGGGACAUGAAUGAAAAGCACAUGCUUGACUGUCAAGUUAAUGGGCCAGAUGAAAAUCUCUGAUGACCAAAGGCUAGCCACCAGUUAACAACAUUUGAUAUAAAGCCAUGCUGAGAGCCUUUAAAUUUUAUUCCAUGAGUCUUUCAGCCAUAGUGAAUUUUGUUUAUUGGUGUACAUAAAAUGCUCAGGAUACUCAAGCUUUCAAAUUAGGGAUGGAGCAAGGUUUGGAGAAAAAUAUGCAUCUCCUUGGAAAAUAUCAAUGAAUGAAUCGACAUACCUCUGACACUGGCGGUCAGAUUUCAGGGCAUCUCAACAAAAUGCUGAUUAUAUACUGUUUACAAGAAACUAAGUCUUGCUUUUCAAAAACUUUUAUUCCAUGAAUCUUUCAGCCAAGUAAAUUAUGUUUACUGGAGUACAUAAUAUGCUCAGGAUAUUCAAGCUUUCAAAUUAAGGAUGGAGCAAGGUUUGAAGAAAAAUUUGCAUAUCCUUGGAAAAUAUCAAUGAACGAAUUGACAUACCUAUUAUAGUCUGGCCAUCAACUUUCAGGGCAUCUCAACAAAAUGCUGAUUUUAUAUACAGUUUACGAAAACACUUGCUAUUCAAAAAAGGAAAAAUAGAAGAAAGUUGAGUUUACUGAGUCUCCAGAUCAGCUUUAGCAUGCAAGUAAAUGAAACAGACGCAGUAUUUCUUCGUUUGCAAAUAAGGUCCUUUACAACUGUAGCAAAAAUAACAAUUAAAAUCCUAUACAGGAUUUGUAUCAAGCCUGUUAUUAAUAUGUGUGUCAGUUACUUAUAACUGUCAAGGGAAUAUUUUCCUAUGUGUAAAGGAUUCUUAUUGUGGGCACUUACCUUUCAAAGGUUGUGCAUUUAUUUUAUAUAUGUUUUGUGUUUAUGUGUUUCAGUUGUGUUCUUAAUUUCAUUUAUCUUAUAUUUUGUAAGUAUGUUUGCCAAGUCUGUAUGCACAUAUUGAACAUUUGAUCUUCAGCAUUUAGAUGGAUAUAAACCACAAUGAGACUUUUUACAUACCCAUGUGCUAAAUUAGUGUCCUUAUAUUUACAUUUGUUGCUAAAAACAUUUAAGUUGUUUUCAUAUCGCGAGUAUUAGAUGUAGACUAAUGACAUGCUAUUGAUUUCUAUCCCCUGCUGAAGGUGGAGGGAUACAGUUUUGGUGUCAUCUGUCCGUCCGUCCGGAGCCAUAUCUAGGAAGUGGGUUAGUAUAUUUUAAAGAUAAAACUUAAUAUACAUGUUCACCACUACAGGGAAAUGCGGCCUGUAAGUGUCAGUCAAAUUGCCCAAAUAACACCACAGUUAAUAGUAGUUUCUAGUGUUAACUGUAUGAGGUAUUAUGAAUAUGGCAAUUUCUGCUUAAUGACUUGUGACAUAUUUGAUCUAGAACCAUGAACAAUUUCGUCAAAAUGUUGAUCCGAUUUAUUGAUAAGGGAGGUUACUCUGUAAGUCAAGUUUUCUAUUUCUGACCUUAGCAUGACCUACUUACCUAUCUAAUUUUCUAUAAAUAGAACACAUCGCAGAUAUACCACCAUAUUGCAACGCAUGAAUUGCGGACAAGGGAGCGUUCAUGCAUUUUACAAUAACCUUUCAGUAAACUUCGAAGAGAAUAUUUAAUUAUCAAAAAUACGGAAAAGUACACUUUGCCUGCAUAAAAUUCCUUGAAAAACGUACUAACAAAUUAAAUAAAGAAUCAAUAAGCAUAUAUAUGUUAACUUAUUUUUCAUCUUUUGUCUUAUUUUCUCAGUUGAUUACAGUGAUGUAAUGUCAGAAUGCGCACAUUUUUGCAGAUUCAUUUUACAGUUGUAUAUUUAUAUAACUGUUAUGGAUACCUUAACUUUGAAGCAUAGAGUUUCCCAAUUGUGACCACAUGUACAACUGGUCAGAAUAUUUCUAAAUAUUUUAUAAACUCAUCUUGAUUCUAACCUUUGACUUUUUUUGCUUAUGUGUCAUAUACUUAUUGUUUACAGAUAUUCACUGUCAACUAAGGUGUGCAAUAAAGGGCCAUCAUUUGGCUGAAUUUGUCAGUGACAAGUUAAUACUUCUUUAAAAUGGGAUUUGAUCGAAAUAUCAAAAUUCAUGGGACCAUAACUUAUCAAAGCAUCAGUGACGUUCAAAUAGAUUUCCUUGUUGAAUUUAUAUUUUCAUUAAUUUUAUAUGACUAGUCAGUUGCUCUAGUUGUAUUAUAUCUUGUUACUU